AACUUAAUAAAUGCCGGCUGUGGGUUUACAUCAACACGUCUUUUCACCUUCUCUUCCUGAAACGUGGAACUUCCUGAAUGGGACCAGUCACUUGCUAAAACUAUCACUGGGAGAAGUUGAUACCAUGCACUUCCUUUCCUAUUAAGCGAGUUACAACAGGAAAACUGCAAGCCUCCAGCCUCAGAGAAUUCUGACUUGAUGGCUCAUGGAAGGAGAACCAAGUUUAUUGUUUCCUGAGGGAAGAACUUAAUGAAGCUGAAUGGAAACUGCCCUAUUUGGAAACUAUAGCCAGGAACUACACUCCCUUCCUGAAUAUGCCACCAAGACUACUAAGACAUUUAAUAAACCAUGCUCACGGUCGAAAUUUAUGUCUUAACCUCUGUGUGACCUACGUGUAGCAAAAUUAUUUUGACUUAAAAAUUUUUGACCCAUGCUUUUAGUCUUAACCACAUCUUUUCUUCUU